GACGAACCGAGCGAACGUUAUUCGGAAUCACUGGGCUUAAAGGGCGCGUAGGCGGGCGGCCAAGUCAGGGGUGAAAGCCCCCAGCUCAACUGGGGAAGUGCCUCUGAUACUGGUCAUCUCGAGGGAGAUAGGGGCGUGCGGAACUUCCGGUGGAGCGGUGAAAUGCGUAGAUAUCGGAAGGAACACCGGUGGCGAAAGCGGCGCGCUGGAUCUCUUCUGACGCUGAGGCGCGAAAGCCGGGGGGAGCGAACGGG
rnacentral:rRNA from 1 species